rnacentral:rRNA from 1 species
GAUAAGAAAGCUGUCUCUCUUUACUAAACUCUGAAGUUAGCUGGAUAGUGAAGAGACUCUCUUAGCAAAGCGGGACGAGAAGACCCCGUUGAGCUUUAGUAAAAAUUGUUUAUUAAAAACUUGAUUACUUGAGUUGGGGCAACUAUCUUUCUUUUUUAAAACAAAGAUAAAAAUGUUUUGAGUUGAUUCUUUUAUGACCCUUAAUCUUAGGAAUAGUAGAAAAAGUUACCACGGGGAUAACAGCGUAAUUUUUUUUGAGAGUUCUUAUUGACAAAAAAGUUUGCGACCUCGAUGUUGGAUCAUAGUUUCCGGGGGGUGCA